GUCGAGCGAACGGACGAGAAGCUUGCUUCUCUGAUGUUAGCGGCGGACGGGUGAGUAACACGUGGAUAACCUACCUAUAAGACUGGGAUAACUUCGGGAAACCGGAGCUAAUACCGGAUAAUAUUUUGAACCGCAUGGUUCAAAAGUGAAAGACGGUCUUGCUGUCACUUAUAGAUGGAUCCGCGCUGCAUUAGCUAGUUGGUAAGGUAACGGCUUACCAAGGCAACGAUGCAUAGCCGACCUGAGAGGGUGAUCGGCCACACUGGAACUGAGACACGGUCCAGACUCCUACGGGAGGCAGCAGUAGGGAAUCUUCCGCAAUGGGCGAAAGCCUGACGGAGCAACGCCGCGUGAGUGAUGAAGGUCUUCGGAUCGUAAAACUCUGUUAUUAGGGAAGAACAUAUGUGUAAGUAACUGUGCACAUCUUGACGGUACCUAAUCAGAAAGCCACGGCUAACUACGUGCCAGCAGCCGCGGUAAUACGUAGGUGGCAAGCGUUAUCCGGAAUUAUUGGGCGUAAAGCGCGCGUAGGCGGUUUUUUAAGUCUGAUGUGAAAGCCCACGGCUCAACCGUGGAGGGUCAUUGGAAACUGGAAAACUUGAGUGCAGAAGAGGAAAGUGGAAUUCCAUGUGUAGCGGUGAAAUGCGCAGAGAUAUGGAGGAACACCAGUGGCGAAGGCGACUUUCUGGUCUGUAACUGACGCUGAUGUGCGAAAGCGUGGGGAUCAAACAGGAUUAGAUACCCUGGUAGUCCACGCCGUAAACGAUGAGUGCUAAGUGUUAGGGGGGUUUCCGCCCCUUAGUGCUGCAGCUAACGCAUUAAGCACUCCGCCUGGGGAGUACGACCGCAAGGUUGAAACUCAAAGGAAUUGACGGGGACCCGCACAAGCGGUGGAGCAUGUGGUUUAAUUCGAAGCAACGCGAAGAACCUUACCAAAUCUUGACAUCCUUUGACAACUCUAGAGAUAGAGCCUUCCCCUUCGGGGGACAAAGUGACAGGUGGUGCAUGGUUGUCGUCAGCUCGUGUCGUGAGAUGUUGGGUUAAGUCCCGCAACGAGCGCAACCCUUAAGCUUAGUUGCCAUCAUUAAGUUGGGCACUCUAAGUUGACUGCCGGUGACAAACCGGAGGAAGGUGGGGAUGACGUCAAAUCAUCAUGCCCCUUAUGAUUUGGGCUACACACGUGCUACAAUGGACAAUACAAAGGGCAGCGAAACCGCGAGGUCAAGCAAAUCCCAUAAAGUUGUUCUCAGUUCGGAUUGUAGUCUGCAACUCGACUACAUGAAGCUGGAAUCGCUAGUAAUCGUAGAUCAGCAUGCUACGGUGAAUACGUUCCCGGGUCUUGUACACACCGCCCGUCACACCACGAGAGUUUGUAACACCCGAAGCCGGUGGAGUAACCUUUUAGGAG
rnacentral:rRNA from 1 species